CUUGAAUGUUUUCUCCCAUCUAUUCUCCACGGGCCGGUCUUACCGAUCCCUCAACGUCGUGCGCUCUGCGAUUUCGGCGGCACACGUACCGGUUCUGGGGAUACCCGUCGGCAAAGAUCCACUGGUAUGCCGUCUCCUCAAGGGCAUCAGACUACAGAGGCCUCCGAAACCUAAAUACUCCCGGUUAUGGGACGUGGAAGACGUCCUACAGUUCAUGAAGGACUGGUCAGAUAACGACAGACUCUCCCUCCGACAAUUAUCAGCCAAACUUACGCUCCUACUUUGUUUGGUCUCGUUCCGCAGAGUAUCGGACGUGCGGGCAUUCGACAUUGACGCUUUUUCGGUCUCCCCAGAGGGAGUUACCUUCCAAGUGUCACGUCGUACGAAAUCUGACUCCUCGUCAGUCUUCUACCCCUUUUUCCCUACAGAACCGCUGCUUUGCGUGGUGUCUACUCUGCGUCGGUACGUAGAGGUCACAUCCCUACUUCGGGUCUCAUCUUCGGGCCAACUCUUGGUGUCUUACGUUAGACCCCAUGUACCCAUCUCUACUACGACCCUCGCCAGAUGGGUACGAUGGAUCCUGUCUCUGGCGGGAGUGGAGGAGACCUUCGGUGCCCACUCCGUACG